UGAGCCCAUCUUUAUACAAAUGGUAACUGGUACCGAGUGUACAAAAACUCGCACAAAGGAAAUGUCUCGCACAUUACAAUCAGAGCAUAACUAACGCUGGCGCAGUUCUGCCAGGUCAUAGCACAUCUCGGUGAUAGAACAAGUACUACCGACGGCUAGAUAUUGGUUAAAAGACGAUAUCAAACACGAGAUCAGCCAUGAGAAUCUCUUUGAUAAUACUAAUAUGCCUUGUAGUAGCAGUUACUUUGGUGUCUUGUCGUCCUUCCGGAAAUCGACGAUCCGGGCGUCGACCAGGCGGUCGAGCAGGUGGACGGUCGGGAGGCCGACAUCGACCACACGACCGACUACCACUUGGUGAUGGAAACGGCAGUCCACACCGCCACCCCCACCACCACGGACGAGAUGACCCUCAUCGUCCAGAGCACAGGCAUCCACCAAGGGAGGGCGGAUACAAUGCACAAAUAAAUUCAGAAAGACCACGAUUUGAUGGAAGAGGAUCACGGCAGUGAGAUAAUUCGUAACAAUGUAUUCAAAUCACUGUUUGUGAUAUAUAUGCGAGAUAUAUAUCUCUGAAAAAUAUGAUGUGCAUUUUAUAGGUAGAGACGACACAGCCUUAAUAAUGUAUUAAUAGUAUCGACAUACCAUCGACAGAUUCAACAAUAUCUUUUUUUGUAUGCUCAGGUUACUAGUACAAUUAUUUGUUUGUGAUUUUCGUGUAUGCAACAUAUUCAGAAUAAAGUUGAAUCAGUUGUGUUCACUGUU